rnacentral:rRNA from 1 species
UACAGAGGGGGCGAGCGUUAUUCGGAAUUAUUGGGCGUAAAGGGCGCGUAGGCGGCCUUUCAAGUGACGGGUGAAAUCCCUCGGCUUAACCGAGGAACUGCCUGUCAGACUGGAAGGCUUGAGACCGGGAGAGGUGAGUGGAAUUCCCAGUGUAGCGGUGAAAUGCGUAGAUAUUGGGAGGAACACCAGUGGCGAAGGCGGCUCACUGGACCGGUACUGACGCUGAGGCGCGAAAGCUAGGGUAGCAAACGGG